UCCCUGGUGGCUCAGAUGGUAAAGAAUCUGCCUGCAAUACAGGAGACCCAGGUUCGAUCCCUGGGUCGGGAA
rnacentral:tRNA from 1 species